AAGUGGUACAGCUCUCUUAGAUUUAUCUAGCAGGUUUUCUGGUCCUCGCCAGAAGACUCCC
ensembl:snRNA U7 U7 small nuclear RNA